rnacentral:rRNA from 1 species
CUGAUGCAGCAACGCCGCGUGAGUGAUGAAGGCCUUCGGGUCGUAAAACUCUGUCCUCAAGGAAGAUAAUGACGGUACUUGAGGAGGAAGCCCCGGCUAACUACGUGCCAGCAGCCGCGGUAAUACGGAGGGGGCUAGCGUUAUCCGGAUUUACUGGGCGUAAAGGGUGCGUAGGCGGUCUUUCAAGUCAGGAGUGAAAGGCUACGGCUCAACCGUAGUAAGCUCUUGAAACUGGUAGACUUGAGUGCAGGAGAGG